rnacentral:rRNA from 1 species
GACGAACGCUGGCGGCGUGCUUAACACAUGCAAGUCGAACGGAAAGGCCCUGCUUUUGUGGGGUGCUCGAGUGGCGAACGGGUGAGUAACACGUGAGUAACCUGCCCUUGACUUUGGGAUAACUUCAGGAAACUGGGGCUAAUACCGGAUAGGAGCUCCUGCUGCAUGGUGGGGGUUGGAAAGUUUCGGCGGUUGGGGAUGGACUCCCGGCUUAUCAGCUUGUUGGUGGGGUAGUGGCUUACCAAGGCUUUGACGGUUAGCCGGCUGGAGAGGGUGACCGGCAACAUUGGGACUGGGAUACGGCCCAGACCCCUCCGGGAGGCAGCAGUGGGGAAUAUUGCAAAAUGGGCGGAAGCCUGAUGCAGCAACGCCGCGUGCGGGAUGACGGCCUUCGGGUUGUAAACCGCUUUCGCCUGUGACGAAGCGUGAGUGACGGUAAUGGGUAAAGAAGCACCGGCUAACUACGUG